GACGAACGCUGGCGGCGUGCCUAAUACAUGCAAGUCGAACGCACAGUUUAUACCGUAGCUUGCUACACCAUAGACUGUGAGUUGCGAACGGGUGAGUAACGCGUAUGUAACCUGCCUGGUAGCGUGAGGUAACUAUUGGAAACGAUAUCUAAUAUCGCAUCAUAUUAAUUAUUGCAGGAUAAUUAAUUGAAAGGUGCAAUUGCAGCACUACCAUAUGGUUCUGAGUUGUAUUAGCUAGUAGGUGAGGUAACGGCUCACCUAUGCGACGAUACAUAGCCGACCUGGGAGGGUGAUCGGCCACCAUGGGACCGGGGCACGGCCCAAGAUCCUAACGGAGGCAGCCGUAGGGAAUUUUCGGACAUGGACGAAAGUCUGAACGAGCACAGCCGGGGGAGUGGAGAAGGGUUUCGGAUCGUAAAGCUCUGUUGUAAGAGAAGGACGAGUGUGAGAGUGGAAAGUUCACACUGUGACGGUACCUUACCAGAAAGAGACGGCUAACUACGUG
rnacentral:rRNA from 1 species